UUCAGAGGAACCUGUCCUAUAAUUGAUAGUCCACGAUUUAAUUUACUUAUUUUAAUAAUUUACAUAUCGCCGUAGUUAGAAUAUUUUUAAAAAAUUUUAAUGUUCAAAAUUUUUUUUUGAGAAAGUAAUUCAGGUCAAGGUGUAGUUUAUAGAUAAGAAGAGAUGGGUUACAAUAAAUUUAUUUAAAUGGAUAAUUAUUUUAAAAAUUAUUUGAAGGUGGAUUUGAAAGUAAUUUAAAUUAAAUAAUUUAAAUGAUUUUAGCUCUAAAAUAUGUACAUAUCGCCCGUCAUUUUCACUAUAAAGUGGAACAAGUCGUAACAUAGUAGGUGUACUGGAAAGUGUACCUAGAAAGGCAAAUUAGAGCUUGAUAUAAAGCAUUUUAUUUACAUUAAAAAGUUUAUUGUGAAAAUCAAUAUAAUUUGAUUAAAUUUUAUUAUUAAAAUUUAAUUUAAAGUUUAUUUUUUUUAUUUAAAAAAAAUAAUUUUAUUUUUUAUUAUAUUAAUUUGAAAAAAUUUUUGUUAUUAUAGUUAAUUAGUAUUGUGAAGGAAUUAAAAUUAAAAGUUUAAAAGAAUAAUUUAUUUUUAAAAAACAUGGCCUAUUGAAAAUAAUUUUAGGUUUAGCCUGCCCAAUGAAAAUUUAAAUGGCCGCAGUAUAUUAACUGUGCAAAGGUAGCAUAAUCAUUUGUUUUUUAAUUGAAAGCUGGAAUGAAAGGUUGAAUGAGAAAAUAACUGUCUCUAAUUAAAUUUUUUAAAAUUUUAUUUUUAAGUAAAAAAGCUUAAAUAUUUUUUGAAGACGAGAAGACCCUAUAGAGUUUGAUAGUUAAAAUUUUGGAUAGUUUGGAAUUAAUAUUUUUAAUUUAUAAAAUUAUUUAAUUGGGGUGAUUGAAAAAUUUAAUUAACUUUUUUUUUAUUUUUACAUAAAUUAAUGAAUAAUUGAUCCUUAAAAAGAUUAAAAGAAUAAAUUACCUUAGGGAUAACAGCGUAAUUUUUUUUUAGAGUUCAAAUUAAAAAAAAAGAUUGCGACCUCGAUGUUGGAUUAAAAUAAAUAAUUGGUGUAGAAGCUAAUUUAUUUAGUCUGUUCGACUAUUGAAAUUUUACUUGAUCUGAGUUCAAACCGGUGUGAGCCAGGUUGGUUUCUAUCUCAAAUUAGUUAAUUUAUUUUAGUACGAAAGGACCGGAUGAGUAAUUAAAAAUUUUAUUUAUGAAUAAUAAUAAAAGUUAUUUUGGCAGAAUAGUGCAAUAGAUUUAGAAUCUAAAAAUGUAAUUUUUACAAAUAAUACUUGUUGAUAAAGGAAUUUUUUAUAAUUUUAUUUUCUAUAAUUAUUUUAUCUUUAAGAAUUAUAAUUAGUGUAGCUUUUUUGACUUUAUUAGAGCGUAAAGUAUUAGGAUAUAUUC
rnacentral:rRNA from 1 species